rnacentral:rRNA from 1 species
GAUGAACGCUAGCUACAGGCUUAACACAUGCAAGUCGAGGGGCAGCAUGAACUUAGCUUGCUAAGUUCGAUGGCGACCGGCGCACGGGUGAGUAACACGUAUCCAACCUGCCUUCAACUCAGGGAUAGCCUUUCGAAAGAAAGAUUAAUACUUGAUGGCAUAACCUGGUCUCCUGACUUGGUUAUUAAAGAAUUUCGGUUGAAGAUGGGGAUGCGUUCCAUUAGGCAGUUGGCGGGGUAACGGCCCACCAAGGCAUCGAUGGAUAGGGGUUCUGAGAGGAAGGUCCCCCACAUUGGAACUGAGACACGGUCCAA